UAAUUAUACAUACAUGUGUUACCUACGAUAGUUAGUAGAUCAAUGUAGUUUUUUGCAUAAAUGCUAUAACGGCCUAAAAAUCGUAUUUGAUAGGUAAACAGCUAUCCUGUACAAAAGACUCGCAGAUUUGUGAAAUGAUGUUAAAGCGAUUUGGCCCUUCGCCAGUUUUUCUUUUUUGUUGUUGUUAAACGAGACGCCGCGAAAAAACACUAUUUUUACGUGUUGCUGAACUCGAUUGUUAGAUACUCAUAAUAAUAUUAUAUUAUAGUCAUCUCGUUAUAAUUUAACAAGAUUAGACAAUUCAUUAUUCUAUAAAUAUUUUGUUAUCGUCUUUAUUAUAGUAUAAUAUAUAAAGCAGUGAGACAGUAAACAAUUUUUGAUGACGACAAAAGGUACUUGAACAUCCGGCAGGAAAUAAUAGUAUUUUAUACAAUCAUAUACGUGUAUUAUAUAAUAUGACAUCGUUUAAAUUUUUAAAAAUAUUCGCAAACGUUUGGAAAUAACAAAUCGUUUUUUUUUCUACGGG